GACGAACCGUGCGAACGUUGUUCGGAAUCACUGGGCUUAAAGGGCGCGUAGGCGGGCGACCGAGUCCGGGGUGAAAGCCUUCGGCUUAACCGGAGAAGUGCCUGGGAUACUGGUCGUCUGGAGGGAGGUAGGGGCAGCUGGAACUUCCGGUGGAGCGGUGAAAUGCGUUGAUAUCGGAAGGAACGCCGGUGGCGAAAGCGAGCUGCUGGACCUCUUCUGACGCUGAGGCGCGAAAGCCAGGGGAGCAAACGGG
rnacentral:rRNA from 1 species